UCUCAGCUGAUAACUUUACACAGCUUUGCCUCACUUGGAGGAACAACAACAAAUGUUGUAGAAUUCCAACCUUGGAAAUGGCUACGAUUCCAUCAGUAUGAGUCCACCACCACAUUCGCCAUGGGCCUUUCCAUCUGCUCUGCAGCUGAAACUUCCUACAGAUUUUGUUUUCCAUAAUCAAAACGACCAAUGUGCCCCCCUUUUAAAUAAACUCAACACGGGGAGGAAACGAAACUCUGGCCAAACACAAGAAUUGAUGACCAUACUGCCAAAAUUGAAGGACACAUCGUACCUUUCUGUUAUUAAUAAAGAAGCUAAAUUUGGAAAUGUU